rnacentral:lncRNA from 1 species
GCAGGAUGACAACUCCCCUGGGACCUUGACACUACGACAGGGUAAGAGGCCUUCUGCCCUAAGUGAAAAUGUUAAGGACCUAAAGGAAGGAGUCAUUCUUGGAACUGGAAGGUUUCUGAAAGCUGGAGGUGGAGCAUGGGAGCAAAACGAGGACCAUGACAAGGAGAAUCAGCAUUUUGCUUUGAUGGAGAGCUAGGUCUCUGCUGGAUUCUUCCCCAAGAGCACCGAGGAAAGUCCUGUUUUCUGAUUCCUCUCAGGCUACCAACUCUGGUAUUUGGACACUAUUCUUUUAUGUUCGUGUGUUUCCUGUAUAUUAAAGUAGAUGAUUUUACGUGAUGUUUUAAGACGUUAAAAAAAAAUAAAAA